rnacentral:rRNA from 1 species
UACGGAGGGGGCUAGCGUUGUUCGGAAUUACUGGGCGUAAAGCGCGCGUAGGCGGUUCGUUGCGUCAGAUGUGAAAGCCCCGGGCUCAACCUGGGAACUGCAUUUGAUACGGGCGAGCUUGAAUCCAAGAGAGGGUGGUGGAAUUCCCAGUGUAGAGGUGAAAUUCGUAGAUAUUGGGAAGAACACCAGUGGCGAAGGCGGCCACCUGGCUUGGUAUUGACGCUGAGGCGCGAAAGCGUGGGGAGCAAACAGG